AACGCGAAGAACCUUACCUGGUCUUGACAUCCACAGAACUUUCCAGAGAUGGAUUGGUGCCUUCGGGAACUGUGAGACAGGUGCUGCAUGGCUGUCGUCAGCUCGUGUUGUGAAAUGUUGGGUUAAGUCCCGCAACGAGCGCAACCCUUAUCCUUUGUUGCCAGCGGUCCGGCCGGGAACUCAAAGGAGACUGCCAGUGAUAAACUGGAGGAAGGUGGGGAUGACGUCAAGUCAUCAUGGCCCUUACGACCAGGGCUACACACGUGCUACAAUGGCAUAUACAAAGAGAAGCGACCUCGCGAGAGCAAGCAGACCUCAUAAAGUAUGUCGUAGUCCGGAUUGGAGUCUGCAACUCGACUCCAUGAAGUCGGAAUCGCUAGUAAUCGUAGAUCAGAAUGCUACGGUGAAUACGUUCCC
rnacentral:rRNA from 1 species